rnacentral:rRNA from 1 species
GACGGGGGAUGCGAGCGUUAUCCGGAAUGAUUGGGCGUAAAGCGUCCGCAGGUGGCAGUUCAAGUCUGCUGUCAAAGACCGGGGCUUAACUUCGGAAAGGCAGUGGAAACUGAACAGCUAGAGUAUGGUAGGGGCAGAGGGAAUUCCUGGUGUAGCGGUGAAAUGCGUAGAGAUCAGGAAGAACAUCGGUGGCGAAGGCGCUCUGCUGGACCAUAACUGACACUCAGGGACGAAAGCUAGGGGAGCGAAUGGG